AACCAGCGGCACAGCGCCCGCUUCUUCGACGUCCUGACGGCGCAGCUGGGCCUCGGCCCCGAGCGGAUUAUCAUCCGCUUCUACCCACUGGAGCCCUGGCAGAUCGGGAAGAACAGAACAGUCAUGACGUUCCUGUGAUCUCUUGAGCGGCCAGUUCGAACAAAGCAACGAUGAAGACAACCCAGAGAUGACCAGCUCCAUCUAUCUACUUGUUUCCUCUUAUGAUCAAAUCUGUGUAGCUCUACACAUUCACCUGUAUGAUUCACUUUCAUCUUUGCAUCCUUUGCACACAAAGCUGAAGAGUAGGGCAAUCAGCUAUACUGAUGUUACUGAAAUAGUUCAAGGUCUUUGUCUCAAGCCUGUCUCGUAGCCCAAAGGCUCUCCUGGUGUCCAUGGCAAAGCCAUUGCAGUCUGGUGAUGGCUAUACAUGGGCCUAGACAAAGCUGUCUUUUAGCAGCAAGAAGUUUAAUUCCAGAAUAGAUUUGGCUUUAUUGAGGACCAGAGAGGUUCUUGUGUUCAUUUAGAUUUCCUCAUACUUUGAAAGGCAGAAAGAUCCUUCUUUCUGUUUCUCUGUGGCAGCAGAAGGGCUCCAGGCUGGCUGAGAACACUUGGAAGUCAAAUUCUCUUUUCAGGCUCCCCAAAAGCCUCUUCUGCAAAGAGGUGAUUAUUGGAAUGGAAGUUUAUGCAUUUGUAUAAUUGUGUCUUGAAGGCUCAUGUCAGAUCUUGUGCUCUGUGCUAUACUGUUGCCACCCCUGGUAGCUGCUUCUACAAAGUGUCACUUGUCCACAGGAUUUUCAUGGAUGAAUGUUUGUGUUGUCACGGCAGCGUGUAGAGGAAGGAGUUUCUUGUGGAGAAUUGCACUGUGCUACAGGAAAAUAUUUUGAAGGUUCUACUGCCAGCUUUAAUUCUUGUUAUUCACCCAGUUCAAAAUACUUUUCCUCACCCUGCUGCUACAGGGAACGUUUUGGGAUGAUACAGCAUCUCACUGUGUUCUGUGGCUGGUGUUUUCAGCUCACUGUCCCUGUGGGGAAGUGAUUUGGGUUUUUAGGACCCAUGUGCUCCCUCCAUUUAUAACUGGAAUACACAUGGAAUUUUAUUUUUAAAAAAGAUAGUACUUUUUAUGUAUAAUGUUAUCUCUGCCUUCCACUGGUAAUGAAAACAUUCAUCAGUUUCCUUUCCACUUUGUGACUUGCUGAGGUCGCAGAUGGGGAGCUCAGAGGAACUGAGAGCAUGCCCUUGGAUAUGGAGAUCCAUGGGAACUCAAGGCUUCUGCGCUCCUUUGUCAUUCUGAUUGGAGUUUUAUUUAUGACUUGAGGUUUCAAGAUAGUUGAAAAUAUUCCUUCUAAUUACCAUUUGAAGUUGGUUGUUCCCUAUGCAGCAUAAACAUCUCUGUUUGCAAAAUCUGUCAGGACUGUAAUACCAAACACAAAUUUGUCUAUCAGGCUACAGGGGGGGGCUACACCUUAUCUGGUUAAUAAAAUGUAUCAAAGCCUCUUUUAA